CCGGUAAAUUGUUGAAGCUUAAAAAAUUGAGCAAGCUUCUUCCAUUUCUAUUGGCUCUAAGACCAGCGAAAAAGAUACUCUUGCCAUUACCAUUGCCUCUUCCACUUCCACUUCCAAUCCUCAAAUUUACGAAGCAAAUUGAACUUCCUAGUUUCCACAAACCAUCAUGGCCAGUACAUUCGUGGUCUUCAUGGCAAUCUUGGCCUUCUUGGCCUUCUUGGGGUGACCAAUGGGGUGGUGGCUGGUGAUAAACGAAACCUUCAAUCAAAAUAAACUGUUAACUUUACUCACUGUUCAACAAACCAGUAAAUCAUUUAAAAUUAUUGGUAAAAGAUUAACAAAAGACUAAAAAUCAUCAACCCAUCAACAAUACAAUAAUUUACAUAACAUAUCUAUUAAUCAAUCAUAUUUUCAGCUGUUAUCCAUUUUCGAGGAAAGUUUUUCCAGAAAAGUUUUCAUUUUCAACCCUCCAUAGCGCCAUCUCUGUGUUGCAUAAUAAACAACUUACUAUCAACAUUUAUUUUUUGUAUAUAAACAAUUAAAAGAGUUAAAUAUUGAAUUGUUAAUUCAAGGCUGGCCUUGUUGUUAAUUGUAAUCAACAAUAAAUUUAUCAUUUUUAACCUUUGCUUCAUCUAUUCCUUUCAUUGAGAUCCAAUUAUCAUCACAUAUAUCAGUGAACAUCAAUUUUGGUAAAAAAAGCGUUUCAAUUUGACUAAAGUUGCCAUUAAAUGGGGGAAAGUGACAUUGUGAUUGUUUGAUUAAUCACGAUGAUUAAGACAAAUAAAAGCAGUAUAUCAACCAUCCCAAACCAAUGCUACAAAUUUAUUAUAAAGAUGAUCGUAUAGCCUUGAUUAUUCUUAAAAUUUGAUUAUUAACCAUCAGAAUCAAGUAGGUGCUCAUUGCAAUGCCGUUAACAUCACGCUUUAAAAUAAAAACGUUGAUUACCAAAUAAUAUUAUUUCAUUUGAAAAUAAUAGUAAUGAUCAUCAUUAUUAUUCAAUGAUAAUAGUUCACUUGACAAUCAAACAAAAAACAAACAUAAUCUACAUAAAGAAGACAAGGCUUCCAUCCAAAAUGGUACGAUUUGUUGGAAAAUUAAGGUUUUGUUAAUGGAUAUAAUUCAAGCAUCGUUACCAAUCAACUGAAAUGAUAAAGAAAAUUAAUAAAGAAAAUUUAAUCACAAACAAAUGAUGAAAUGGGAAAAUUUAUCCACCCAUUGAAAUAACAAAUGGUUAACCAUCAAAGGGAAACCAACAAAGGAUUCAUUUUUUGAGGCUUUUGCCAUCAAAAAGGUACACAAUUGGAUGUACAAUAAAUUGAACCUGGUUAACAAUGGUCUUAAUGGUGGUGAAGUUGAUGAUCGUCAUCAUUUAUAUUUUAAUGUCAUUCAAUCAUUAACUGUUGAG